AAGAAAAGCACCAUUGGACAAACUUUAAAAUAAUUUUAAACUUUACUGUCUAUGAAGGUGAAACUGACCCAGGUACUCUUAAGCCUAAAUCAAGGAGACAGAAAGAGAACAGAAGAGAUUUGAUGGGGAGUUGGGAUACAAGAUGAAAACCAGGAUUGUCUGGAUGAAGAAAUCAGGAAAAGCUUACUACAUUUUUCUCUAUCAAGACAUGCUACCUAAAGAGAAAGAACACAAGAUCACAUGCUGUGUUUGGAAAGCCUGCUCAGCAGAACAGUGGAUGAGGCUACUUUCAACAGAUCAUUGCCCCAACAGAAUCAGCGAUUCAGAGAAGUGAAGUGCUGUGAUCAAAGACGUACACCGUGCUUCUGAAGAGGAAUUCAGGAAAUGCCACUUCAGCUAGUAUAAAGAACUGUCACCUCUUCGCUCUGGUUAUGUGCAUCCCUAAAUUAGCCAUUAGAUAAUUCUGCCACUUCGCUGAACUUUUGCACAUUCUGCAUUGAAGGGAUUUAUUCUUCCUUGUCCAGGAAGAAAGGCUUAAGUGGUAGUUAUGGAAAUAAAAGAGAGGAUAAAGCUC